rnacentral:rRNA from 1 species
AUUGAACGCUGGCGGCAGGCCUAACACAUGCAAGUCGAACGAGUGGCGGACGGGUGAGUAAUGUCUGGGAAACUGCCUGAUGGAGGGGGAUAACUACUGGAAAAGGUAGCUAAUACCGCAUACCAUCGGAUGUGCCCAGAUGGGAUUAGCUAGUAGGUGGGGUAAAGGCUCACCUAGGCGACGAACCCUAGCUGGUCUGAGCGGAUGACCAGCCACACUGGAACUGAGACACGGUCCAGACUCCUACGGGAGGAAGCAGGGGGGAAUAUUGCACAAGGGGGGCAGGCCGGAUGCAUCCAUGCCGCGUGUAUGAAGAAGGCCUUCGGGUUUUAAAGUACGUUCAGCGGGGAGGCGUUACCCGCAGAAGAAGCACCGGCUAACUCCGUGCCAGCAGCCGCGGUAAUUC